UACGGGGGGGCAAGCGUUGUUCGGAAUUACUGGGCGUAAAGGGCUCGUAGGUGGCCAACUAAGUCAGACGUGAAAUCCCUCGGCUUAACCGGGGAACUGCGUCUGAUACUGGAUGGCUUGAGUUUGGGAGAGGGACGCGGAAUUCCCAGUGUAGCGGUGAAAUGCGUAGAUAUCAGGAGGAACACCGGUGGCGAAGGCGCUCAUCUGGCCCAAUACUGACGCUGAGGCGCGAAAGCUAGGGGAGCAAACAGG
rnacentral:rRNA from 1 species